ACGCUCGACACCUACGGGGGCAGCAGUGGGGGAUAUUGCACAAUGGGGGAAACCCUGAUGCAGCGACGCCGCGUGAGUGAAGAAGUAUUUCGGUAUGUAAAGCUCUAUCAGCAGGGAAGAGAAUGACGGUACCUGAGUAAGAAGCCCCGGCUAACUACGUGCCUAGCAGCCGACGGUAAUCUGAGGCGGGCUGGCAAGGC
rnacentral:rRNA from 1 species